UACGGAGGAUGCGAGCGUUAUCCGGAUUUAUUGGGUUUAAAGGGUGCGUAGGCGGAUUUUUAAGUCCGCGGUAAAAUGUCCGGGCUCAACCCGGGCCGGCCGUUGAAACUGGGGAUCUUGAGUGGGCGAGAAGUAUGCGGAAUGCGUGGUGUAGCGGUGAAAUGCAUAGAUAUCACGCAGAACUCCGAUUGCGAAGGCAGCAUACCGGCGCCCGACUGACGCUGAGGCACGAAAGCGUGGGGAUCGAACAGG
rnacentral:rRNA from 1 species